rnacentral:piRNA from 2 species
UGUCUACUUGAGUAAUGUAUACUGUUACCC